UGGGGCUGAAGAAGGUCCCAAGGGUUCGGCUGUUCGCCGAUUAAAAUGGUACGUGAGCUGGGUUCAGAACGUCGCGAGACAGUUCGGUCCCUAUCUGGUGUGGGCGCAGCAAAAUUGAAGGAAUCUGUCCUUAGUACGAGAGGACCGGGAUGGAUCCACCUCUAGUGUACGAGUUAUCACGCCAGUGGUAUCGCUCGGUAGCUAUGUGGAGCAUGGAUAAACGCUGAAUGCAUCUAAGCGUGAAGCCAGACCUAAGAUUAGUUUUGCCAGUGAGACUCGUGGAAGACCACCACGUAAUAGGCUGGAAAUGUAAGUGCAGUAAUGUAUUAAGUUGACCAGUACUAAUUGUCCCAAGGCUUGACCAU
rnacentral:rRNA from 1 species